rnacentral:rRNA from 1 species
GCGAGGGCAUAUAGUCCUCGCUUUUCUCAACCGUAGGGAGGUUGAGGAACAAGUGCUGGGCAAGACCGGUGCCAGCCGCCGCGGUAAUACCGGCAGCACAAGUGAUGACCGCUGUUAUUGGGCCUAAAGCGUCCGUAGCUGGCCAGACAAGUUCAUCGGGAAAUCUGCGCGCCUAACGCGCAGGCGUCCGGUGGAAACUGCCUGGCUUGGGACCGGAAGACCAGAGGGGUACGUCUGGGGUAGGAGUGAAAUCCCGUAAUCCUGGACGGACCACCGGUGGCGAAAGCGCCUCUGGAAGACGGAUCCGACGGUGAGGGACGAAAGCUCGGGUCACGAACCGGAUUAGAUACCCGGGUAGUCCGAGCUGUAAACGAUGUCUGCUAGGUGUGACACAGGCUACGAGCCUGUGUUGUGCCGUAGGGAAGCCGUGAAGCAAACCGCCUGGGAAGUACGUCCGCAAGGAUGAAACUUAAAGGAAUUGGCGGGGGGAGCACAA